rnacentral:rRNA from 1 species
UACAGAGGUCCCAAGCGUUGUUCGGAUUCAUUGGGCGUAAAGGGUGCGUAGGUGGCGCCGUAAGUCAGGUGUGAAAUCUCGGCGUCUAACUCCGAAACUGCAUUUGAUACUGCGGGUCUUGAGGACUGGAGAGGAGACUGGAAUUUACGGUGUAGCAGUGAAAUGCGUAGAGAUCGUAAGGAAGACCAGUGGCGAAGGCGGGUCUCUGGGCCGAUACUGACACUGAGGAGCGAAAGCGUGGGGAGCGAACAG